rnacentral:lncRNA from 1 species
GAAAGCAGCUGGCUGGCUCACUGGAGUUUUGAUUAUGGCUGGAUUGGCUGGAUGUUGGUGUCAUGUAGACUGAUGUUAUGACUGGAUACAGAGGUGGAACAGAGCCAGUUACAGGAAAAGCAGUUUCCUUUGCUGUGCAGAAGCUUUUCAGUUUGAUGAGGUCCCAUUGGUUUAUUUUUGCUUUUAUUUCUGUUGUUUUUUUGGAGACUGACCUGAGAAAACAUUUAUUGUUUGUUUAGAUGGCCAGGUGAAAAAGGGGCACUGCCAAGCAAGUCUCAAGGAAAUGUGCACCCUCCACAGGAAGUUUUAUUAUUGGCUUCUGGGGAAGUGGUAAGUUUGCAAAUAUCAUCACACAUUUAAGUGCAUUCUUAAGACACAUGUGACAGCUUGACAUUUGGGAGAGAAAUUCUGCUGGUUUCUAAGUUCCGAGUCUGCCAUGAAAUGUCUGUGGAACCUGGGUUAAAACAUGUCAUUUUCUGACUCUCAGUUUCUUCUGUGUAAAACAAAACGGAUGGAUGAUGUACAAAAUGAGGUUCUCCAAUUCUUUUAUGAGACAGGCACUUAAGCACAUUGUUGUGCUCUGGUAGGGAAAUCUUUCUGUCUACAAAGACCUCAAAGAGGACACAAGGGUAGUGUUCUCUGCUAUGAAGUGGAUUCAGUGGAAGGACUUGAUCAUAUUCUGAGAUACUUCAGCAUUUUUGCCUUCUGUAAAUUCUUCACCUACGAAACAGGUUAGAGCAGGAAGGAAAAUGGCAAUUGUAGGUUUAGGACAGAGUGGAGCAAACCUUUCUUGUUUCUCUUGGGGAUUAGCUUCAAGGAUGGAGGGAGGGUAUUGAUACUGACAACAGAGACACACUCUUAUCUGAAAUUCAGAUCAAAUGAUUCCACCCUGUAGAGCAUUCCAUGACAAUGGCCUUUCCAGGAGCAUGAAUCUAUACACAGCCCAGUAGUUAAUUUCAAUCAGCAGGCUUUGCUGGUAUUGCUGCUCCCAUUUUAGAUUUACAAAGCCAUUCUUGAUGAAGACAAUAAAAGCCUCCUGUCCCUCUGGUAUUGCAUUAUGCUCUGACACUUUAUCAGGGCACACAGACAGACGGUUGUUCUAAACCAUAUAUAAAAUGGAGCAAGCUCACAAAUCAUGCUUUGAUAUUGCACUGUGCAAACACCAAGGUUAAAAGGUAAAUCUGUGCUGUAACCGUAUUGAUUAAUUGAUGUUAAGAAAGGUCAGAUUAAUCUUUAUCUUGCUUGAAAAACUCUAGUUCUCCAUGGCAGGGCUGUUGAAAUGGUUCCUGUAUAAAAAGAUAAAAACAACAAUAAGAACUGGAACCUUAAUGCAAAAAAAGUGAGGGAAAACUCACCUAAUAAUCACUCAGAAAAUGUUAGUGAAAGGAACCCUAGUGGAGAGACAAUGGGGAAAUCUCAUCAGUCGCUCAGGUAGUUAAAGCACUGAAACAGGGACUGGAAAGUGGAAGUUAUUGCGUUUUCUGUGUAUUUGGGAUAGGCUUCCUUGGAAACACCUUCACUAGUGAAGCAAUUGUAGAAGUAAAAAUAGUGACUUUAGAUAAUAGCCUUAAGCCUGUUCCAAGAAGGCCAGACAAGAGAGGAGAGCUUCUACUCCUUUUUUCCAAUAGGAUUGAAAUCAGUUGAAGUAAAAUACCUAACUUUCCUGACCUUCAGGUCCUGCCCAGGUGAAAAACUGGCACAUAACAUUUCUUAUAAGAUCGUUUCUGUAUCCCCAGGGCCUGGUGGGAAAGGGAAAUCAUCUCUUCCACAUAUGGAGAUGCACAGACAACUUAAGAACUUAAGAACAACUUGCCCAACCUACUUCUGGUUCAAAUGAUAAAACCGGGUUUGAAGGCUAAAAUUUAGGGUUUUGAGAAAACCAAGAAAAAAAUAAGGAAGGAUUAGUGGCUAAAUCUAUCUAAGAGUGGAAGAAGAAAAAAAAAAUCUAGGGACCAAGAGGACAGGAUGCUGGUCCUGAAUGAACAACGACAUUGGACAAAAGAAGGGCAAGAGCCAGGGGUGGGGAUGGGAGUGGAAGGGGACGGAAUUGGGAGUGAAUGUUGGCUGUUUUUUCUCAAUAUGCUGAAACCUGAAAAGACCUUCAGAAGCAGGUGUCUGAACCUGAAGAACCUAGCCUGUGAUGUAUUCACACGCAAACCCAGAAAUGUCAAAGACUUACCAUGAUGCAAGUUUCUUUUCGGCUCAUGUGAAGCCAUGUUGCUGGGCAAUAUUCCUGCAUCUUACAGCUAUGACAUUUGGAACAUGUGGCCUUAUGACAUCAAUGAGGGGAUUCCUGGAGGAUUGCAUGAGAUUUUUUCCUCUAGGUUUAUUGAAAAAUAAUUGACAUCCAUCACUAUAUAACUUUAAGACAUACAGCAUGAUGGUUUGCUUUACAUAUAUUGUGAAGUAAGGACCACAAUAGAUUCAGCUAACAUCCAUUCACUUGAGAUGUUUUGAAAGACGGAUCUGGAAGUAGAUGAUAUUAUCUUUCUUAUAAAUCCUACUGUCCUGGGUACAGUCACAGAGCCUUCAACUAACUGCAAGGGAGACUGGGAAACAUGCCAUAAAAAGUUACCUGUCUCGGUUUACCUUAGAGCACAAGGGCUUUAGGUUUUCAUAUAGAAAAGUUUCCGUAAUGUAUAGCACAGGGAACUAUAUCCAAUCUCUUGGGAUAGUCCACAAUGGAAUAUAAUACAAGAAAAAGAAGGUUGGAGUUCUCAUUGUGGUGCAGCAGAAACAAAUCUAACCAGGAACCAUGAGGUUGUGGAUUUGAUCCCUGGCCUUGCUCAGUGGGUUAAGGAUCCACUUUGCCGUGAGCUGUGGUGUAGGUCACAGAUGCGGCUCAGAUCUGGCGUUGCUGUGGCUGUGGUGUCAGCCGGAAGCUGUAGUUCCCAUUAGACCCCUAAAAUGGGAACCUCCAUAUGCCGCGGGUGUGGCCCUAAAAAAAAAAGAAAAAGAAUGACUGCGUCACUUUGCUGUACAGAAGAAAUUGACAUAACAUUGUAAAUAAACUAUACUUUAACUUAAAAAAAAAAGAAAAA